GCUCUAGGCCUGCUGGCACAGACCAGCUCUUUGGUAGGCAGAAAUAUAAGAACUUCAAAAGAUUCUGCCCUGAAAAUUCUCCAGUCUGUUGUCUGUACAGGGGACAAGGACAAGGAGGAACAAGUUCACAUGAGUCUCUUGCUGUUUACUAAAAAUACUGCCAACAUGAUACUUCUGAUAAUUUUGUUAGCAGUACUCAUUUAGAAAAAGGAAGUACAGAUGGGUGAGGAGAUAUAAAAAGACUGUUUUUCUUCUCCUUGUGACAUGUUGUGUAACUGCAACCCUGGAGAGAGCUGCCAGUGAGGAAAAGCAUCAGGAUCAGCUCUGCUUUGCCCAGGCAAAAAUGGGCUUCUGUCUUUUACUAUCGAGCACGAAUACCCAGCCUGUAACCUAAAGACACACUGUGGGAAUGGAAAAGCAGCAGAUGAAGGUGGUCUUUUGCUCAGAGUUUCUAAUGUCCACCUACCUUGCACCGAGACAAAAGGCUCCCCUCUAGCAUUUUCUGGGGGUUACGCUAGCAGUCAUACUUCUGUGCCUGUUUUUAAUCUUCCUUGACACUUCCGCAGCAAUGCACAUGCCCUGAAGACUUAACUUGUCCCAGCUGAGCUGUUGCAGAACUCAAAAUGUGAAAACAAGAUAAAAAAAACCCUGCUGUCUCCCUUGACAGUGCAGGCUUGCUGCAGCCCCUGAUGAAAGUACAAACAGUACAAAGAGAUACCCAGCCAAGUGAAUAACUGCUUCAGCUGGGGACUAGCCAGAACUACAAGUAAACAUUUGGGCUGGAGACUAGAAAAUCUAUGCUGUGAAGGAUGUUACAGGCCAUUGUCUGGAUACUGCCGCUGGUGUUUAGGAGAGAUGAGGUAAGUAACUGAAACGGGGAAACCAAAGUAAAAGUAAUGGUGUCCCAAGAAAGGUCCUAAUCUGAUUAAUGUUGUGUUUGGCUCCUGAUUCCCUUCUUCUCUUUCAAUGUGUCAGGUGAUGGGUUAAGGGGUGGGAACCUGAUCCUGAGAGUUCCUUUUGGCAGAGGAAAUCAGGGCAGGUUUUUUGGUGAGCAUGUUCUGGGAGGUGU
rnacentral:lncRNA from 1 species